GGGCCUGUGGCGGAAUUGGCAGACGCAGGGGACUUAAAAUCCCCCGAGGAUUAAACCUCAUGAGGGUUCGAGUCCCUCUGGGCCCA
rnacentral:tRNA from 1 species